rnacentral:rRNA from 1 species
GAUGAACGCUGGCGGCGUGCCUAAUACACGCAAGUCGAGCGAACGGACGAGAAGCUUGCUUCUCUGAUGUUAGCGGCGGACGGGUGAGUAACACGUGGAUAACCUACCUAUAAGACUGGGAUACCUUCGGGACACCGUAGCUAAUGCCUGAUAAUAUUUUGAACCGCAUGGUUCAAAUGUGAAAUACGGUCUUGCUGUCACUUAUAGAUUGAUCCGCGCUGCAUUAGCUAGUUGGUGAGGUAACGGCUUACCAAGGCAACGAUGCAUAGCCGACCUGAGAGGGUGAUCGGCCACACUGGAACUGAGACACGGUCCAGACUCCUACGGGAGGCAGCAGUAGGGAAUCUUCCGCAAUGGGCGAAAGCCUGACGGAGCAACGCCGCGUGAGUGAUGAAGGUCUUCGGAUCGUAAAACUCUGUUAUUAGGGAAGAAAAUAUGGGUAAGUAAAUGUGCACAGCUUGACGGUACCUAAUCAGAAAGCAACGGCUAACUACGUG